rnacentral:pre_miRNA from 1 species
AUAAGAAUCUCCUGGAGAUCUUGUUAAAAUGCAGAUUCUAUUUCAAUAGGUCCAGGGUAGAGCCUGAGAGUCUGCAUUUCUCACAAGCUCUCAGGGGAUGGGGUU